rnacentral:lncRNA from 1 species
UCCCGGAUCUCUGCGAGAGCCAACGACAAGUGACCAAAUAUAUGUGGAAAUCAUGAAAAGAUAACAAACGAGUUUAGAGAAAACAGUGGAUUUUAUUUCGAGUCCGCGUAAGAGCGUUGCGAUCAUCACAAGAGAUCAUAAAAGCUUUGGCCGCAAAGGCUGUCAGCGAGUUACUUAGUUCUAGCGGCCUAAUAGCUCAAACCUAGUUGAGUCGCAGCUCGAUAACAAAAGACGAAAUAGAUACAGAAAAGGUUUUUGAUUGCUUUCGGACCGAACCUUGUUAAAGGCUGCCUACGUACCCCUUUCGAGGAUCAAGCCGAACGUAGUUCAAUUGAUAGAGCUGGACAAGAGAUCGAACUGCCUGGGCGAGUUCGUCUAGUAAUUGAGUGCCAGUCAUAGAAACCGAACUUGUCGAGAAUAAAGCCUAAAGUUUCUAAGUGAAGAGAAUUCCGAGUCUAAAAACUUCUCCCCCAUGCCUCUCGCCUAGGACUCCUUAUAUACUCGCUCCAAGGUCGGUUUACGCUUUUACUCUUCUGCCCUUAAGCCGUCAUAGCAUAAAAUGGACAUAUUCCAUUUUUUCGGAUCUUCGUAAUUAUCUUCAAUAUUCCGUAUUUAUCCGCGGAAACUUGACAUUUAUCUUCCCUUGCAAACCAAGCGUAAACCGUCCUACGGUUUAUGGGCUUUUGAUUUAGAAAUCGUAAGAUGGGCCUCGAGUCGUGUCUUAGGUCCCUUUGGGCCGUAUUCCGACUCGAAAUUUUUAUUGCGACUUAUUUCGAUAAAGAACAGACUUUCCGCAUUUUUUGCCGCAAAGUUUGAUCGAUGAUUUAGAAUGGCGGAAAACAAGAACUGAGUUCGCUACGGUCUUCGGGAGAUAGCAUCAAAGGAUAGACGAGAAUGCAUGGACUGGUGUCGUAUCGACGUUUCGGAAGAGCUCGGUCGCUACGUAGCAACCGAGCGGGAUGGACGCUCGGUCGCUACGUAGCGACCGAGCGGAACUGACGCUUGGUCGCUACGUAGCGACCGAGCUAGGCUCGGGCUCGGUUGCAAUGUAGCGACCGAGCUGUGUGCAUGCUUGGUCGCCGCGUAUCGAUCGAGCUUAGCUUGUCUGCGGUCCGAUUGCCAUACUCGAGCUUGUCCGCGGCCGAUUUGGAUACAUGUCCGUUGCCUUCGGACAAUCGUAUUUAGUGGUUCGAUUGAGAUUUGAACAAGAUUUUACCGCAAGGCUCUUCGUAAAGAUAUCUUUACGAGGAUUAGUUUUCGUAAAAAUGUUCAUGCUAAUUUUUACGGACUUUCAGACAUUGAUUUCGUCGUGACCAAUUUUGACCCCUGCAGUUAGCCCCCCAGCUCGUUAGAACCAUGAGCUUUUAGCGUGAGGUUCUAGCGAGUGGCUUGGCAAGUUAGGGAAGUAAGGUCAGUUAGGCGGAAUUAAAGGUUGAAAAGGUCAGUGAAAAGUGGUCUUCUCGCUCUUCUAAAAGUAGAACGUGAUACGAUUGGGGCUGCGCCUUAUGACGGCUGCCAUCUCGUAAUCUAACUCUGUGUGAACUGCUAUAUUCGUAAUCUGUUUCGAGAGUUUUUUGCAGUGUGUAAACUUGCGAGAUUUCUGAAGAUUCUUGAAUAUUGGCAAAGAGACAAAUUUUGGGAUCUCGUAUCAGCGUGCUUGAUACUAUGCCUAGAUAUGUUAGAGACCAGUGCGCUGGGUUAGGGCAAGACCUAGGUUUACUCCUGGUUUUAGAGGGUGUGAUGACUAAUUCGACUUACGUGUCCCGUUUCAGUUUCAUCCUGAUUUCAUACCGAUUUAAAGUCCGCGAUAGGUUCUCGGCUUAUACGACUUGUAUGGUUGGAACCGAGCAUCUCUCCAAGGACAAUUUUAAGCCUCCUGGAAGUGCUGACCAAAAAUUUUGGGUUUCUUUUAUAGCGCUAUUAUCCUUGUGUCGGAUGUACGAGAGUCAUCUCUACGAGAUGGCUAAGUCUUUUUAGGACGUUGAGAGUUUGUUGUGAUCAGCAACAAACUUAAUGGUAAAAAAUACCGUUUCGAGUCUUCGCGAAGGAUAUGUUGUAAGAAGAUGUUAGUGCGUAUGACUGUCUGGACUUCCAAGAAAAUGUUUUUAUCGUGGAAGGAAAUUUCGUCAAAGAACGAAUCUUCAGGCGUCUGCGACGUCUCGCGAUGCUGAAGAUUUGUUAUUCUUUCGUAUGACGCAUUUCGCGCCUGAAAUGUUUGCGGGCUUGAAGAUGUUUCGCGAUGUUGCAAGAGUUUAGUCUUAGCCUUGCGUUUGAGAAACGUUCUUGUUUGACUACGGAUGUUCGCAGCAAAAAUUGUUGUUCCUGUUUGGAUGCUAAUAAUUUGAUUUUCGAUCUAGGAAUUAGGACUGAGGUGUCGCGUAAAUUUGUCCAUGGGAAGAAGCGUUUUUCUUCAUAAUGUUUUUUGAAGUGUUGGCCUUCCGAGAUCUAUUUCGUGCAUUUUUGAGGAUGUUUCGUAUAGCUCUAGAAGCUUUCUUACGAAUUUUUCCUUACAUGCCGCAUAUUAUGGGUAAAACAUAGCGGGCUUAAAGUGAAUUGUGGAAUGUAUCGAACUUGGUCGAUUGUCGAAAAGUUUAGAUUUUCCAUUAACUGUUUGAUUGUUAGGACUUAGUUUUGUUACGAAGAAUUUAUCAUAUGCUUUCCGACUGUGGGCUAUACGAUAAUUUAUCAUAUAACUGGUUUUACGAAGGUUAUAAAUCAGUGAUAUGAAUACAUAUGUCGAAGUAGCGUUGUUUCUGCGGGUUUUACGAGAAACGUUUCUGCUGUGAUUUUGAUCUUAGGCGAAAGUUGCUUGGAGUUACUCAUGGAGUGUUACCGAAGUUUAUUUUAAUACGAUCUAGUCGCAGAAUGUUUUUCAUAGGUUUUUUUAGAGGAUUCUCCUGACACUUUCGUUUCUUGAACGAAUUGAUCAACCAGAGGUGGAUCUAGCUAACCAUCGGGAGGAAAGUGCUCGUUUUAAUGUGCACGAUGCUACAUCUAUUCUCGAGUUUUCUUCGUCGCAAAUGUUUUUGAUGCUUUUCCGUGACUUGCUUGGUUCAACGGAAACUGAAAGAAAUGCUUUGGUGAUUUUCUCGUAGAAAUUUUUAAACGAAGCUGGCUUUCUAAAGCUCGAAAGGGCUUCAACACUUUGGCUAAUCGUCGAGUUUCAGUUUGAUAUUGGUACAGGUUUUCUGUACGCAUGAUUGCGACAAGAAAUGAUGUAUAGUCUUUGAGAUUUAUGUUCAUGAUCGUCUGGAUAUGUUGCUAGCGUUUAGACGAAUAUUAGAUUGUCGUUUGCCUAUUCUUGACGAUUUGCAGAUGUUUUUUGAAGUUUGGGAGUAUACGAGUAUAGUAUACGUACCUACUCCCCCCCCCCCUUUUUUUUACGAAAGAAAACAGUUGAACCUAUACGUUGAAGGGUUGUGUACGUUUCUUCUUCUGAGGUUUGGAAUGAUCGAUAAUUCGGGACAAUUUAUAGACGACGCUUGAACUGUGAUUUGGUUGUUUCCACGUUGACGACUUGGAAUAUGUCGGUUCCGAAAAAAUUGCCAGAAAAAAAUCGGUUUUAAGACGACAUUCAUGUCUCUAGUUUUUUCUCUCUUUAGGAAGCGAGCUUGAUAUGCGUGGCGAUUGUUUCUCGAUUUUUGGAGAGUUUAGAUCGGUUUGCAAGAUCUGAAUGAACAAUUAUAGAACAAUAUAUCGAGACAGGAAAAAUCGCUUAAGACUUAGUUCGCUAGACUAUCCGCCUAGGUUUUACGUUCCCUAAAGUUCUAUGGCAGCCUCAAAGUAAUUUCCUACAAAAAUUCCAAGUCUGAUUUCAAAAAUUUCAAGUAGGAAAUACCUUAGUUCUCUCGAAGAUGCAGUUUUCUCUCUUCUCAGUUUUGCUUGCUCAUUUUCCUUUCCUCUUCUCGUGUAUGUUCGCCAUUUCCGAUAUUGGUGUUUAUCUUUUGAAACUUGACAUUUAUCUUCCGAACUUGACUGUUAUCUUCUCCUUAGAUACGACGUCAAUUUUUGUAAAAUGGUUCAACGUAAUCAUAUAGUUAAGGCGGCUAAGGUGUUAAGUUAACCGUUGCUGUUUUAUACGAUUAAUCUGAAUCCAUGCGAGAAAACAAGUCUUUGCGGUUUUUUUUUUAUAUCAUAAAGUCUCAAUGGUAACUUCAAUCGAGGCGAAACAAGAGACGUUUCGAUCGAGAUUCGAAAGUGAACGCAAAGAUGGAGGUAGGGCGAGCAGGAACAAGCCAAGGAGUUUAAGAUGAGUUUUACUUGUUUUCGUCGUAAAAUCUCAACGGAAACUCCGAUUGAGACGAAACGAAAAGAGUUUCGAUAAGGAUUCAAAGAAGAACGCAAAGGAGGACCCCUUUGAGGCCUGACAGGUCGCUAUAGAGAGUGAGGAUGUCAUCUCGGUCGCUAUAGCGAGUGGAAGGGAGCCAAGACGAGUCCAACUUGUUUUCAUCGUAAGAUCUCAACGGAAACUCCGAUUGAGACGAUACGAAAAGCGUUUCGAUGAGGAUUCAAAGAAGAACGCAAAGGAGGACCCCUUUAAGGCCUGACAGGUUGCUAUAGCGAGUGAGGAUGUCAUCUCGGUCGCUAUAGCGAGUGGAAGGGAGCCAAGACGAGUCCAACUUAUUUUCGUCGUAAAUUCUCGACGGAAACUCUGAUUGAGAUGAAACGAAAAGCGUUUCGAUGAGGUUUUAAAAGAGAACCCAAAGGACGACCUUUCUGAGGCCUUACCGGUCGUUACGUAGCAAGUGAAGGUCUGAAAGGUCGCUACGUAGCGAGUGGAAGCAAGCCAAGAAAAGUCCUACUUGUUUUCGUCGUAAAAUCUCAACGGAAACUCUGAUUGAGACGAAACGAAAAGCGUUUCGAUGAGGAUUUAAAACAGACCCCAAAGGAGGACCUUUCUGAGGCCUUACCGGUCGCUACGUAAGGAGUGAUGGUCUGACAGGUCGCUACGUAGCGAGUGGAAGCAAGCCAAUAAGAGUUCUACUUGUUUUCGUCGUAAA